rnacentral:rRNA from 1 species
CAGUCGCCGCGGUAAUACGAAGGGGGCUAGCGUUGCUCGGAAUCACUGAGCGUAAAGGGUGCGUAGGCGGGUCUUUAAGUCAGGGGUGAAAUCCUGGAGCUCAACUCCAGAACUGCCUUUGAUACUGAAGAUCUUGAGUUCGGGAGAGGUGAGUGGAACUGCGAGUGUAGAGGUGAAGUUCGUAGAUAUUCGCAAGAACACCAGUGGCGAAGGCGGCUCACUGGCCCGAUACUGACGCUGAGGCACGAAAGCGUGGGGAGCAAAUGGGAUUAGAUACCCCGGUAGUCCCUGUCUCUUAUAC